GGGGUUGUGGCUCAGUGGUAGAGCACUUGCCUAGAAUACAGGAGGCACUGAGUUCCAUUCCCCAGCACCA
rnacentral:tRNA from 1 species